rnacentral:misc_RNA from 1 species
GAUGAAGAACGUAGCGAAAUGCGAUAAGUAAUGUGAAUUGCAGAAUUCAGUGAAUCAUCGAAUCUUUGAACGCACAUUGCGCCCGCCAGUAUUCUGGCGGGCAUGCCUGUCCGAGCGUCAUUUCAACCCUCGGGCCCCCCUCUGCGGGCGGCCCGGCGUUGGGGCUCAGGCGCCGUCUCUGCUCGGCGCCUGUCCCCUAAAUGCAGUGGCGGCCUCGCCGCUGCCUCCUCCGCGUAGUAGCACAAACCUCGCGGCUGGAAGGCGGCGCGGCCACGCCGUAAAACCCCCCAACUUUACCAAGGUUGACCUCGGAUCAGGUAGGAAUACCCGCUGAACUUAAGAAUAUCAAUAAGCGGAGGA